rnacentral:rRNA from 1 species
UGGUUAAGUUAGAAAGGGCGCACGGUGGAUGCCUUGACACUAGGAGUCGAUGAAGGACGGGACUAACGCCGAUAUGCUUCGGGGAGCUGUAAGUAAGCUUUGAUCCGAAGAUUUCCGAAUGGGGAAACCCACUAUACGUAAUGGUAUGGUAUCCUUACCUGAAUACAUAGGGUAUGGAAGACAGACCCAGGGAACUGAAACAUCUAAGUACCUGGAGGAAGAGAAAGCAAAUGCGAUUUCCUGAGUAGCGGCGAGCGAAACGGAACAUAGCCCAAACCAAGAGGCUUGCCUCUUGGGGUUGUAGGACAUUCUAUACGGAGUUACAAAGGAACGAGGUAGACGAAGCGACCUGGAAAGGUCCGUCGUAGAGGGUAACAACCCCGUAGUCGAAACUUCGUUCUCUCUUGAAUGUAUCCUGAGUACGGCGGAACACGUGAAAUUCCGUCGGAAUCUGGGAGGACCAUCUCCCAAGGCUAAAUACUCCCUAGUGAUCGAUAGUGAACCAGUACCGUGAGGGAAAGGUGAAAAGCACCCCGGAAGGGGAGUGAAAGAGAUCCUGAAACCGUGUGCCUACAAAUAGUCAGAGCCCGUUAAUGGGUGAUGGCGUGCCUUUUGUAGAAUGAACCGGCGAGUUACGAUCCCGUGCAAGGUUAAGCUGAAGAGGCGGAGCCGCAGCGAAAGCGAGUCUGAAUAGGGCGUUUAGUACGUGGUCGUAGACCCGAAACCAGGUGAUCUACCCAUGUCCAGGGUGAAGUUCAGGUAACACUGAAUGGAGGCCCGAACCCACGCACGUUGAAAAGUGCGGGGAUGAGGUGUGGGUAGCGGAGAAAUUCCAAUCGAACCUGGAGAUAGCUGGUUCUCCCCGAAAUAGCUUUAGGGCUAGCCUUAAGUGUAAGAGUCUUGGAGGUAGAGCACUGAUUGAACUAGGGGUCCUCAUCGGAUUACCGAAUUCAGUCAAACUCCGAAUGCCAAUGACUUAUCCUUAGGAGUCAGACUGCGAGUGAUAAGAUCCGUAGUCAAGAGGGAAAACAGCCCAGAUCGCCAGCUAAGGUCCAAAGUGUGUAUUAAGUGGAAAAGGAUGUGGAGUUGCUUAGACAACUAGGAUGUUGCUUAGAAGCAGCCACCAUUUAAAGAGUGCGUAAUAGCUCACUAGUCGAGUGACUCUGCGCCGAAAAUGUACCGGGGCUAAAUACACCACCGAAGCUGCGAAUUGAUACCAAUGGUAUCAGUGGUAGGGGAGCGUUCUAAGUGCAGUGAAGUCAGACCGGAAGGACUGGUGGAGCGCUUAGAAGUGAGAAUGCCGGUAUGAGUAGCGAAAGACGGGUGAGAAUCCCGUCCACCGAAUGCCUAAGGUUUCCUGAGGAAGGCUCGUCCGCUCAGGUUAGUCAGGACCUAAGCCGAGGCCGACAGGCGUAGGCGAUGGACAACAGGUUGAUAUUCCUGUACCACCUCUUUAUCGUUUGAGCAAUGGAGGGACGC